AUGCGGUGCCCAGCGCCCCUCGCAUGUCUCUCUGGGCUAUUUAUACCCAGACUGAGGCAUCUGGAUUUUCCCGACGAUUCGGACCACUUCCCCAAACUGCAGGGCCCCGGCGGGGACGGGCUGCAGGCGGGAGGGGAAGAGGGAAACACGCCGACCCCGAGCCAUGGUAUGAGUCAUGGAAGGGGUCCGGUCCCGUUCCCAAGGAGCUCGAGGGAGGGUGCUGUGGCAAGCUGGGGGUCUGGACAUGGGGCUGGUCCCCACGCCUCGGUGGCAGCACAGAAAGCCGGAGCCCCUGCGGCACCCAACGAGAGCUCCAGGAGCUCAGGGCGUCCUCCCACCCCGCACACAGGGAGGAUGAAGCCUCCCACUGCCAUCGCUACAGGUACAUGCAAAGCACUUGGGAGCCCGCUGCGUCCCCAGGAGGGGCUGAUCCGGCACGGAUCUGGGCCCCCCUCCAUCCCCAUCCCCAUCAGCGUGAUCCUGGGGGCAGCAGCGCAGGAUGGCAGCGGGCAGGGAAGCAGGAGCCGCUCCAGCCCCGCGGAGAUGGGCGUUGCAGCCCCCAGCUGCUCGCAGCCUGCGGCGAGCAAACGGGGACCCCUCCCCAUCGCCACCCCGGCGCAGAGCCCCCUCGAGCAGGGCUCCCCUUCACCACCACCAGCACGAGCCCCAGCCCCACGGGCCCAGCGAGCGCGUGGCCACGCGUGCCCGAGCCAAGGCGGCUCGAUGGAGCCAGGAACAAAGACGCGCCCAACUUCAGGCUGCCGAGCACGAUGCCGCCUCCAGCCAGCAAGGACAGCGGCCGGCACCCCCACGGCAGGUGAAACACCCCCAGCACGGCAGGUGAAACACCCCCAGCCACCUCCCCACCGCCCCCAGCCCCUCACCGUAGGUGCAGUUACAGCACAGGCGGACGAUAACGAGGAUUUCCAUGGCAGCCCCGUCUCCGCGCAGCCAUCCCUGCCUCCCCUCGGCAGCUCAGCCCGGCUGCGCCGCGGCAUCGGCCCUCAGCACGGCUCCCAGCGAGGGAGGAGGGGGUGGGCAGGGGGUGGGGGGCUGCUGCACGCCCCCAGCAUCCUCACGAGGGGCGUC
rnacentral:lncRNA from 1 species